UAAAACCUACAAAAGUUACCAACAAACGUUUUCUAUCAUGAGAAUCAGAUGGAAAAUAGAGCUUGUGUUUUCCAAAACUAUAGGAAGCAACUCAAAGUUGCUGAACAGCAAAAUUAUCUGAAUCUGGCCCUUCAACCAAUUGUUUGAAAUAUUACGUUAAAACUUUCUACGAUUUUGCUUUUACAUUAUAGAGAUGUUUAGUUCGGAUACUUGUGAUUAUAUCGCAUUUUCCUUAGGAUUUAAUUUAAUGCUAUGUGGGAAAGCAGGAUAGUUGGGACAGUGUCAUUUUUAUUGCAUUUAGAGAAAUGUAACUGUUUUGUUCCGAUUUCAGCCUACAUUUAUUUAUCUGUUGUCUGUCAGCUACCUUUUUUUUUUUUUUUUUUUUUUUUGAGGACUCGGCUUCGGUGCUAAGCUUAUCAUAGAGAAACCUACCAGAGCCAAACUUCAGGUUUUGCCUCGCAGAAGCACAAAGAAAUGUCAGGUCAUUAAUUAAGCUUCGUGUUAGUAUCAGCACGUAUCGAUGGAUUGUUAGGAGGAAUGGGGAAGGUCUUUAAACUUCAUUAUGACUUACUGCCAACUUUCUACGCUUUGCUUCCUAAAGGCGCUCUCUGUGAAUUUCCUGCAUUUGCAUUAGAAUGCAUUUAGGAUGAAAAAAUAACAGUGCUGAGUAUACUUAGGGUUUCGUGCUAUAUUCCCCUGUAGUAACAGGUGACAUGAUAAUACUAUUAAACUACAAUGUGGAAUUGCAAGUGUGCAACCCCAAGUGAAAAUUGUUCUCUUUCUUGGUUGAAAGCAAAUUAUCAAUCAGCAUACCUUGAUCAAUUAUCCCCCUGGCUGCCACACACUGGGAUUUGCACAAGGCAUUGACAUUGAGAAAUUCCUCUUUAGAAAGGAUGAGCGGACGGGAUCCCAAACUUUGCAGCAGCCAAGCUAAGCUGCCGGGGUCUCACUUUUUUUUUUUUUUUUUUCCGCUAUUGUUGCUUUCCAGCUCAUCCAAGACAAAACUAGGAGAUCGUGUUUACUUCUCAGUGCAUUUUAAAAGAUGCUGUAUUAAAAAAAAUAAGGGGGAAAAAAGAAAAGAAAAAACCCUCCCCUCCGACCAAGCUCCCCCCCCAACAAUCACAGAGCAAGGAGAGAUUUUAAAAUAUAUAUAUAUAUAUAAAGGGAGGGGGGGGGGAACAAAGAAACACAAAAGCACAAAGAAAAAGCAAGUGAGGGAGCCUCGGGAAGAGCCGCACACCCCUCUCCCCUCGGUGCUCACCGUUGUUGGUAGGAGGUGAUGCCCUGGACGUUUUGCGGGUUGCCGUUGGCCGCGGCGCCGGCUCGCCCCAUGCCCGGCGCCGCCGGCACCCCCCCGGCCGCCCCGCCGGCCGCCGCCGUCACCUGCACGCUGAAAUCCGGGAAGAUCCUGAUCAUCCCCGCGGCUCAGCACCCGGAGGCUGUCGGCGAAGAGGUGCAGCAGCGGCGACUCUCCCUCCGGCGGCUGCAGCAGCAGAGCCAGGCACGCUGCAAUCCCAUUAUGGCAACUCUGAGCGGAUUUUCACGUAGCGAAGGGACAGCCUGGACAGAAAGCCUGCCUUUAGCCAAACUUGAUUCAGCUUUGUCCCAGAAGUCAUAGGUUUUCAUCCAUGUGAGCAAAACCAGACUCUCUUGCUAUUCAAGAUCUUUUAUGAUGAUUGAUUAGUAUCUUAAAUUAAGUGUUAAUGUAACUGAAAAGACAGUCUUCAUAACAACAAGUAGCCCCAUUGAGUCAGUGGAACUACUGACAAAUAGUUUUGUACGCUGUAAGACAAGCAGGAUUUAAAAGGUAGGUUAGUGAAUGGCUGUAGAAUGCGUAAGUUCCUUCUUUCUCAUAGCCCUGAAAAGAUACCAAAUAAAAAACGUUAUUUCAUAUCUGAAGAAAAGUCCAUUUUGUUUGCUCAUAUCUCGCCCCCUCCCCCCCCCCCCCCCAUUAAUCAUGAUAGCAAAACACAGAAUUUCUGAGAUUCAUCUUACACCAA